GGCAACAAAACAGCUGGUCUCAAAGUGACGAAGCUGAGGAACACUUGGGCUUUCCCCGAGGAACAAAAGACGAUCCAGGAACCACCUGCAACGAACUGAAACUUGUACAUCCACAUCUGAGCGAUGGUUACUUUUACGUGGAUCCCAACCAAGGCUGC